rnacentral:lncRNA from 1 species
CUUUAUUUUCUUUGUUUUUGUUCUUUGUUUUGUUUUGUUUUUGUUUUCUUUCUAAAAAAAUUGCAUUUUUGUUGAAAGUUUUAGGCUAUAGAAUAAUUUGAGGUCGAGUUUGCGAAGACUUGGGAAAAAUUCACAAGAUCGGUAUUGUUUUAACACCAUAAGUCUCCUGCAUAUAGAAAUUGAGUUGAAUUUUUAUUAUGACAUAGCCUUAAAUUCUCAUCAUCUGACUGCUCUUGAGUAGUUUAUUUCAGCAGUCAGCACCAUCUCACACACACUCUACACAGGGAAGCCGAUGAAUAUAAGUGAGUGUUCCGAAAAAAAAAAUGCACCUUCUAAGUUUGGUAACCCUCACCCGGUCACUUAACCCAACGGUGGUGGAACCUUCAAAAAAAGUUGGAAAUAAGACUCUUUUGUAGUUGGUUCAGCGGGUUCUGGUGCUGAACUUGGUAGGGCAGAUUACGGUCCGAUCCCUCGCAACUACAAUUGAGUAAGCAAAGGGUUAUGCCACUUAAGUACCAGAACUCCAUGCAGAAAAGCAUCAGAGUCACUAACCGAUCGCCUUGCUAUGAGUGUGUGGAGAUAACAGGCUUAAUGUGAUUGCGCCUGAAUGAAAAAGAGCCAAAGAAGGAUGAGUAAGUUAGGCUUUAAUAUAAUAACAUGAUUCGAGUUGAUUUGUGUAUUCAUGAGAUUUAUGUCUGCAUAACUGUGGAUUAGUGUUCUUACAAUGUCCUUAGUGUGCAAGGUUAGUACCUAUCAAAGCAAACUUAACCGAAGAUGACUUGUAGCCUAGAAUGAGUAAUCGUUGAUGUGUCUGUGUUUUGUUUUGUUUUUCAUUUUGCUCGGAGUGCAAAAGUUCAAGUGUGGAGGAAUUUGAUCAGUGCAUUUUGAUGCAUGUUCUUCCAUGUUUGUAUUUAAGAAUUUCUUCGGUUUGCUUUGAUUAUUUUUAUGUUUUAAUGUGUUUUCAUAAUUUAUUUUAUUUUUGCACUUAUUUAAUUUUCGUAUUUAAUUUUCAGCAUUAGCAGCUUUCGCGAGAAAAAUAAUAUCUUGAGCUAGGAGUAUCGGAUUGAAACGUGCUACCAGUCGAUGGAAAGCUAAGAAAAAGAUCUAUAACUUUUGUUCAGAAGUCGAGAUCUGAAUAUUACUGUAGCAGGGCCAGAAAUUUCGUUGAAGCUGCUGCAUUAUUUUUAUAUUUUGUUUGGGUUAGUUGUAUUGGGCCCGGAUCGUACAUUUGACCCGGUUGAGUUGUGAAACGGGUUUGGGUGUUUUUACCUAGGUUAGGCAGCCAAAAACAGGGUUACGUUUUACUAUUCACGAAAUACUUGAAAGCUUUGGCAAGAAUUCUCAUGAAGAACUCAUCGAUCCAAACAAUUUGCUGUAUUCGGGUUCCGAUACCUUGAGAAUUUAGUAAUUCUUAUUCAGGUUUUUUAUUCCUUUCAAUAUUAAUAUAUGUAUUUUGUUUGCUUAAUCCGAUUUACAUAUGUUAUAUUGAUUUAAUCCGAUUGAUUGUGUGAUCCUAACUAUAGUCACGAUUUCGUUUGCUUAAUUCGUUAUCGAGUCCGUUUAAUUCAUGUUUGCUUAAUUCAUGAAACUUAAUCCCGUUUGCUUAAUUCAGAUAAUAGGAACAUACAACUUAUACUAUCAAUUGCGCUUGUCAGUUGAUAUUAUAAUCGAAUAGGAAUAAUUAAUCUACAGUUGGAAUUACGAUAGUCGAUGAUAGGCAAAGACCGAAUCAGUAAAUUGUUGCUACAGCUUAUUUCAAUAAUCACUUAUUUUAAUCUAUUUUUUAUUUAAUUGAAUCCUAAACCAACCAAAACCCCAUUAAUCGUUACUAUCAUUGGUUAAUUCAUUCAAGAAUCCUUGUGAGAACGAUAAUCCGAGUCAAUUUGUCGUUAAACUACAUUUUUGAAAAAUUACUCUUUUUGAUCCGCGUGCGACAGCGGAGCAAAUUGGCGCCGUUGCCGGGGAUUCUUGUCGAAUUAGUCAAUAGUUUAGUUUUAAGUAUUGUGUGUUUUGUUUUUCUGCAAUUUCCUGUUAUUUUUCCGAAUUUUUCUACAGUUUCGCGUUCGGAGUUGCGUCUAGAGUCAGAAAAAACCAAUUUUUGGAAAAUUUGUGUUUGAUUGUAUAAGUUUUUUACCUACUGGAAGCAGAAAAAUCGUGCGAUCAAUACUCCUUUACUCUAAAAGAGUAAAAGACUCUGACGUCAAAUUUGCCAAAUUCCUUGUUUUUCUAUUUUUAAUUAAUUGUUUACUGUUUUCAUAGUGUCGAAAAAAUCCAAAAAAAAAUCUCAAAAUUUUCAUUUCACGUCAUUAGAUUAAGUUUGGUGCUUUUGUAUUUUUCUGAAUUUAUUUUAAUCGUUUUUCUUCUUUCUAUUUGUUUUUGUCUAUUUCGGACAUAGUUGAUAUUUCUGUGUUUUUUUUAUUACAUGGAUGAUCAAAGAACAUUAAGGCAGUUUGCUACUCCUGAUGUUAAUUAUAAUGACUUUUGUAUUGAAUAUUCUGAUGUUUCGGUUCCUUUUGAAUUGAAAUCUGGUUUAAUACAUUUGUUUCCAAGGUUUAGUGGUCUUGCAGGUGAGGAUCCACAUGAGCAUCUAAAGGAAUUUGAGGUUGUGUACUCUGCACCUUCUGGACCUUCACUAGAAGAUAUUGUCAAACAAAUGGCUGCAAAUAAUCUCCAGUUUUAACAACAAGUAGAUUCUACUUUAAAGACUUUGCAAACACAUAUUGGGCAGCUUGCCACUUUGGUGAAUGCCAUGCAGCAAGCUCAAGGAUCAAACCAACAACCCUUAGAAGAACAUUCUGUUUUGCAAAUAGAUUUGAUUUCUGAAAUUGUUGAUGAUACUUGUGGUGAUUUGUUUGCAUCUGAUUUUCCAUCAUUGUCUGGUUUUGAUGAUGUUUAUUCUUGUGAUAUUUGUACUGAAACUAAAAUUUGCUCUGUUUGUGCUGAAAUUGAGGCUGCCUUGCAAGUUGAUAUUCUUACUGCAGAUGAGGUUGCAAAUAAAGUUGUUCAUGUAGAUAAAGCUCUUGACAUCCCGGUUGCCCCAAACACUCCUUCUAUUGAGCAACCACCUUCCCUCGAGCUGAAGCAACUUCCUGAAAAUAUGAAAUAUGCUUAUUUAGAGAUGAAUGAAAAACUACCGGCUAUAAUUUCUUCUAACCUUAAUUUCGAUCAAGAAAAUAAGCUUUUGCAGGUUUUAAGGAAGCAUAAAAAGGCAUUUGGUUGGACAUUGGCUGACAUUUCAGAUCAGAUCACCUUCACGUGUCCAUUUGACAAUUUUACUUUUAGAAGAUUCUUUGAUCCUGGAAUAAAAGGUGAAGAUACUAAUAAAAAUUUCAAGUUCAAUGGACAUUACCCAAAGCUAUUCCAUGACAGCCCCACUUUGGAAGAAGAAAAUGUAGAAUAUAUCUCUUUGGGAAAGCCUGCUUAUGUGGUCACCUAUCCUCCUUGACUACUCGGGUGUGUUCUUUCCUCUCUCUUCUCUCUCUUAUUUUAUGUUUGUUUCUUUCAUUGAGGACAAUGCAUAUUUUAAGUGUGGAGGAGGGAAUACUUUAUUUUCUUUGUUUUUGUUCUUUGUUUUGUUUUGUUUUUGUUUUCUUUCUAAAAAAAUUGCAUUUUUGUUGAAAGUUUUAGGCUAUAGAAUAAUUUGAGGUCGAGUUUGCGAAGACUUGGGAAAAAAUCACAAGAUCGGUAUUGUUUUAACACCAUAAGUCUCCUGCAUAUAGAAAUUGAGUUGAAUUUUUAUUAUGACAUAGCCUUAAAUUCUCAUCAUCUGACUGCUCUUGAGUAGUUUAUUUCAGCAGUCAGCACCAUCUCACACACACUCUACACAGGGAAGCCGAUGAAUAUAAGUGAGUGUUCCGAAAAAAAAAAUGCACCUUCUAAGUUUGGUAACCCUCACCCGGUCACUUAACCCAACGGUGGUGGAACCUUCAAAAAAAGUUGGAAAUAAGACUCUUUUGUAGUUGGUUCAGCGGGUUCUGGUGCUGAACUUGGUAGGGCAGAUUACGGUCCGAUCCCUCGCAACUACAAUUGAGUAAGCAAAGGGUUAUGCCACUUAAGUACCAGAACUCCAUGCAGAAAAGCAUCAGAGUCACUAACCGAUCGCCUUGCUAUGAGUGUGUGGAGAUAACAGGCUUAAUGUGAUUGCGCCUGAAUGAAAAAGAGCCAAAGAAGGAUGAGUAAGUUAGGCUUUAAUAUAAUAACAUGAUUCGAGUUGAUUUGUGUAUUCAUGAGAUUUAUGUCUGCAUAACUGUGGAUUAGUGUUCUUACAAUGUCCUUAGUGUGCAAGGUUAGUACCUAUCAAAGCAAACUUAACCGAAGAUGACUUGUAGCCUAGAAUGAGUAAUCGUUGAUGUGUCUGUGUUUUGUUUUGUUUUUCAUUUUGCUCGGAGUGCAAAAGUUCAAGUGUGGAGGAAUUUGAUCAGUGCAUUUUGAUGCAUGUUCUUCCAUGUUUGUAUUUAAGAAUUUCUUCGGUUUGCUUUGAUUAUUUUUAUGUUUUAAUGUGUUUUCAUAAUUUAUUUUAUUUUUGCACUUAUUUAAUUUUCGUAUUUAAUUUUCAGCAUUAGCAGCUUUCGCGAGAAAAAGAAUAUCUUGAGCUAGGAGUAUCGGAUUGAAACGUGCUACCAGUCGAUGGAAAGCUAAGAAAAAGAUCUAUAACUUUUGUUCAGAAGUCGAGAUCUGAAUAUUACUGUAGCAGGGCCAGAAAUUUCGUUGAAGCUGCUGCAUUAUUUUUAUAUUUUGUUUGGGUUAGUUGUAUUGGGCCCGGAUCGUACAUUUGACCCGGUUGAGUUGUGAAACGGGUUUGGGUGUUUUUACCUAGGUUAGGCAGCCAAAAACAGGGUUACGUUUUACUAUUCACGAAAUACUUGAAAGCUUUGGCAAGAAUUCUCAUGAAGAACUCAUCGAUCCAAACAAUUUGCUGUAUUCGGGUUCCGAUACCUUGAGAAUUUAGUAAUUCUUAUUCAGGUUUUUUAUUCCUUUCAAUAUUAAUAUAUGUAUUUUGUUUGCUUAAUCCGAUUUACAUAUGUUAUAUUGAUUUAAUCCGAUUGAUUGUGUGAUCCUAACUAUAGUCACGAUUUCGUUUGCUUAAUUCGUUAUCGAGUCCGUUUAAUUCAUGUUUGCUUAAUUCAUGAAACUUAAUCCCGUUUGCUUAAUUCAGAUAAUAGGAACAUACAACUUAUACUAUCAAUUGCGCUUGUCAGUUGAUAUUAUAAUCGAAUAGGAAUAAUUAAUCUACAGUUGGAAUUACGAUAGUCGAUGAUAGGCAAAGACCGAAUCAGUAAAUUGUUGCUACAGCUUAUUUCAAUAAUCACUUAUUUUAAUCUAUUUUUUAUUUAAUUGAAUCCUAAACCAACCAAAACCCCAUUAAUCGUUACUAUCAUUGGUUAAUUCAUUCAAGAAUCCUUGUGAGAACGAUAAUCCGAGUCAAUUUGUCGUUAAACUACAUUUUUGAAAAAUUACUCUUUUUGAUCCGCGUGCGACAGCGGAGCAAAUUGGCGCCGUUGCCGGGGAUUCUUGUCGAAUUAGUCAAUAGUUUAGUUUUAAGUAUUGUGUGUUUUGUUUUUCUGCAAUUUCCUGUUAUUUUUCCGAAUUUUUCUACAGUUUCGCGUUCGGAGUUGCGUCUAGAGUCAGAAAAAACCAAUUUUUGGAAAAUUUGUGUUUGAUUGUAUAAGUUUUUUACCUACUGGAAGCAGAAAAAUCGUGCGAUCAAUACUCCUUUACUCUAAAAGAGUAAAAGACUCUGACGUCAAAUUUGCCAAAUUCCUUGUUUUUCUAUUUUUAAUUAAUUGUUUACUGUUUUCAUAGUGUCGAAAAAAUCCAAAAAAAAAUCUCAAAAUUUUCAUUUCACGUCAUUAGAUUAAGUUUGGUGCUUUUGUAUUUUUCUGAAUUUAUUUUAAUCGUUUUUCUUCUUUCUAUUUGUUUUUGUCUAUUUCGGACAUAGUUGAUAUUUCUGUGUUUUUUUUAUUACAUGGAUGAUCAAAGAACAUUAAGGCAGUUUGCUACUCCUGAUGUUAAUUAUAAUGACUUUUGUAUUGAAUAUUCUGAUGUUUCGGUUCCUUUUGAAUUGAAAUCUGGUUUAAUACAUUUGUUUCCAAGGUUUAGUGGUCUUGCAGGUGAGGAUCCACAUGAGCAUCUAAAGGAAUUUGAGGUUGUGUACUCUGCACCUUCUGGACCUUCACUAGAAGAUAUUGUCAAACAAAUGGCUGCAAAUAAUCUCCAGUUUUAACAACAAGUAGAUUCUACUUUAAAGACUUUGCAAACACAUAUUGGGCAGCUUGCCACUUUGGUGAAUGCCAUGCAGCAAGCUCAAGGAUCAAACCAACAACCCUUAGAAGAACAUUCUGUUUUGCAAAUAGAUUUGAUUUCUGAAAUUGUUGAUGAUACUUGUGGUGAUUUGUUUGCAUCUGAUUUUCCAUCAUUGUCUGGUUUUGAUGAUGUUUAUUCUUGUGAUAUUUGUACUGAAACUAAAAUUUGCUCUGUUUGUGCUGAAAUUGAGGCUGCCUUGCAAGUUGAUAUUCUUACUGCAGAUGAGGUUGCAAAUAAAGUUGUUCAUGUAGAUAAAGCUCUUGACAUCCCGGUUGCCCCAAACACUCCUUCUAUUGAGCAACCACCUUCCCUCGAGCUGAAGCAACUUCCUGAAAAUAUGAAAUAUGCUUAUUUAGAGAUGAAUGAAAAACUACCGGCUAUAAUUUCUUCUAACCUUAAUUUCGAUCAAGAAAAUAAGCUUUUGCAGGUUUUAAGGAAGCAUAAAAAGGCAUUUGGUUGGACAUUGGCUGACAUUUCAGAUCAGAUCACCUUCACGUGUCCAUUUGACAAUUUUACUUUUAGAAGAUUCUUUGAUCCUGGAAUAAAAGGUGAAGAUACUAAUAAAAAUUUCAAGUUCAAUGGACAUUACCCAAAGCUAUUCCAUGACAGCCCCACUUUGGAAGAAGAAAAUGUAGAAUAUAUCUCUUUGGGAAAGCCUGCUUAUGUGGUCACCUAUCCUCCUUGACUACUCGGGUGUGUUCUUUCCUCUCUCUUCUCUCUCUUAUUUUAUGUUUGUUUCUUUCAUUGAGGACAAUGCAUAUUUUAAGUGUGGGGGAGGGAAUACUUUAUUUUCUUUGUUUUGUUUUGUUUUUGUUUUCUUUCUAAUUUUUUUUUUGCAUUUUUGUUGAAAGUUUUAGGCUAUAGAAUAAUUUGAGGUCGAGUUUGCGGAGACUUUGGAAAAAUUCACAAGAUCGGUAUUGUUUUAACACCGUAAGUCUCCUGCAUGUGGAAAUUGAGUUGAAUUUUUAUUAUGUUUUAGCCUUACAUUCUCAUCCUC